rnacentral:lncRNA from 1 species
CACGACGAGCAGCCGUCUGAUGGGGCGUUGUUGUGAUACGUGAGGUCGAUUCAACGGCCAGCAAUCCGCCAUCAUCGGCUCGGUUCGUGGGGCGGACGGCUCACUUUCGAGACCCCGGAUUCAGCGGGGGUAACGUGUCCUCUUCCUCCAUGCACACCAUGCAGUUUUCACCUACGCUUCAUUCUUCAAUCAUUUUCAGGUAAAUUAUUCUACAACAUAUUAUUUCUAGUCUCUAAAAAAUAAAUCUACUGUAGUGGAAUCUGUCUUUUUUAUUUACUGGAUAUUCAAAGGAAAUUAAAUGUUUUAAGAGAUUGGGAAAUAAUAAUAUAGUCGACUCAAAACGAUUCGCCAUUAAUAGUAAUAGAUUAAUGAAUCUUCUAACAUAUCUAGGACAGCUGACGUGUCCUUCUAUCAUAGAUACGAACAAGUUGGGAGAACAUUUGCAGGAGGGAGAGGCAUAAGUUCUUUAGGCUCUAUUAACUGCAUGUACAACAGGAAGUGCUUAAGAAUAGAAGAUUUGGUGAUUUAUGGGUAUUCUUUACAGUAAACAUUUUCUCUGACCAGAUCGAUUAGUGUGCAUUGAAGUUGUCAAAGUCCAUAAUCACGGCAAAAGUUCAUCCUCUUGCUGAUCCACC